rnacentral:rRNA from 1 species
CGGGACGGGUGAGUAAUGUCUGGGAAACUAGCCUGAUGGAGGGGGGUAACUACUGGAAACGGUAGCUAAUACCGCAUAACGUCGCAAGACCAAAGAGGGGGACCUUCGGGCCGUCUUGCCAUCGGAUGUGCCCAGAUGGGAUUAGCUAGUAGGUGGGGUAACGGCUCACCUAGGCGACGAUCCCUAGCUGGUCUGAGAGGAUGACCAGCCACACUGGAACUGAGACACGGUCCAG